GACGAACGCUGGCGGCGUGCUUAACACAUGCAAGUCGAACGGGAUCCGGGCUUUCGGGUUUGGUGAGAGUGGCGAACGGGUGAGUAACACGUGAGUAACCUGCCCCCUUCUUUGGGAUAACGUCGGGAAAUCGGCGCUAAUACAGGAUAUUCUUGCUGCAUCGCAUGGUGUGGUUUGGAAAGGGUUUCUGGUGGGGGAUGGGCUCGCGGCCUAUCAGCUUGUUGGUGGGGUGAUGGCCUACCAAGGCUUUGACGGGUAGCCGGCCUGAGAGGGUGUCCGGCCACACUGGGACUGAGACACGGCCCAGACUCCUACGGGAGGCAGCAGUGGGGAAUAUUGCACAAUGGGCGCAAGCCUGAUGCAGCGACGCCGCGUGAGGGAUGACGGCCUUCGGGUUGUAAACCUCUUUCAGUAUGGAACAAGGAUCCUUCUUUUGGGGGGUUUGAGGGUACGUGCAGAAGAAGCGCCGGCUAACUACGUG
rnacentral:rRNA from 1 species